CCCAUGUGUGUGCAUCUUCCUCGGCUUCUGACACAGUUGCCGCCAUGGAUGGGCCUCGCUGGUUUGCAUCGCCAUUUUUGAUGGAUUCGUGUUCGCAUGCGCCCACAGGUUAGUGUUGUAGCUAUGGAGGAUGAGGCAAUUGGAGAUGAUGAGGAUCAUGCAACGGCUGGCGGGCGUGUGCCCUCUCGGCUUUGGGGCGAAGCAGGAAGACUCCGCCUUUGUGGGUGCACCUAUGCCCUCUUUCUCAAGUAGUGAAUUGAGUGCUACACAUUGCUAUUGCUGCAGUAUGAUGUCAAGGUGGAGUGGCUCAGAGCUCCUGUGUUUGACAACUCUGAGAACAAAGUACAGUCGUAACACAUCGACGGCUACGCCUUUUUGGGUUGUUGGUGUGAAAGGAGGAAAAUGGUUGCCGAAAAGCAGGUAGAUCUACACCUUGAGAGAUGGCAUUUUGCGGUACAUUGUUUAGGUAUUUGGAGUAUCUAUUAUGUUUCAGAAUUUCUCGAACUAUGGUAUCUCCAUAUCCAUCUAAUGAAUGCCCCCCCCCGGUAAUUUCAUUCAAGAUAUCUUAAGGAGAAAUUUGGUUUUUGGUGAACUGAAACAAUAUACCAAUAAAAAUUUAGCGCUUGGCUGUACAUAUGAAUGUUAACUUUGUUAAAAUAAUUCUCCCUUUAUAAGAGAAGAUUUCUUAGUUCAAAUAUAUUUUUUGAAAAAAUAUAGUAUUUUCCUGACAAACCUUUUGAUUCCUCAACAUCCAUAUCUCAGAAGGAUAAUAGUGGUGUGUUUAUGUUGCUUUGGGUCUCUUAUC